rnacentral:lncRNA from 1 species
CACCUCAUUGCUUAACUUUCAAUUCUUCACCCUGUUCUUCAGGCAGGCUCCUGACUUGCUAUUUUUUCAAUCCGUUAACUUUCAUCUUUUCACCUUAUUGCUUUGUUUUCAACUUCUUCACCUUGUUGCUUGACUUUUAACUUCUUCGCUUUGUUGCUUGGAUUUCCAUUUAUUCGCCCUGUUCUUCAGGCAGGCUCCUGAAAUCACAUCAAAACUAAAAAAAAAUUAUCCCAAAUAAAGAUUAUUACAAAGAGAAAUUUCGGUUGCCAGAAAAGAAAAGUUCCAAAAUAGAUAUUAAAUUUCCCCAGUUUACCAUCAGAAGACUUUUGAGAAAGUCAGAUCAUACCUACUUGCAUGUUGCAAUAACGAAUCAAGACUCUGACCAAGAAAUGCAUCUUUUGAGAGUAAAAUUGAAUGACCAAGACUAGGAAUUGUGUCUCCUAAGAAUUUAAAUGAGGAAUUCUGACUAGAAAGUGCGUCUUCUAGAGAUAGAAGUUAAAUUAAAAAGUAUGUCACCUAACAAAUGAAAACUAACAAGAAAGUGCAUCUCAUAAAGAUUAAGUUCAAUGACUCGACUAAAAAGUGCAUUUUCUAGAAAUCAAGGAGAAUGAAUGACUCGACUAAAAAGGUAUGCCUUAUAGGAAUCAAGGGGAAUAACUCGACUAAAAGGUACGUCUUAUAGGAAUCCAGGGAAAUGACUCGACUAAAAGUACUCCUUGUAGGAAUCAAGGGGGAUGACUCGACUAAAAGAUACGUCUUAUAGGAGUCAAAAGGAGAUGACUCGAAAUGAGGGUAGGGUCAAUAGGAAAGGUGAGAAGGGAGUCGACUAAAAGAUACGUCUUAUAGGAGUCAAAAGGAGAUGACUCGACUAAAAGGUACGUCUUAUAGGAAUCCAGGGAAAUGACUCGACUAAAAGUACUCCUUGUAGGAAUCAAGGGGGAUGACUCGACUAAAAGGUACGUCUUCUAGGGGUCAAGGAGGAUGACUCGACUAAAAGGUACGUCUUAUAGGAAUCAAAGGGGAUGGACUCGACUAAAAGGUACGUCUUAUAGGAAUCAAGGGGGAUGACUCGACUAAAAGGUACGUCUUAUAGGAAUCAAGGGGGAUGACUCGACUAAAAGGUAUGCCUUAUAGGAAUCAAAGAGAGAUGACUCAACUAAAAGGUACGUCUUAUAGGAAUCCAAGGAAAUGACUCGACUAAAAGGUACGCCUUGAAGGAAUCAAGGAGAAUGACUCAACUAUAAGGUGUGUCUGAUAGGAAUCAAAGGAAUUGACUCGACUAAAAGGUACAUCUUCUAGGGGUCAAGGAGAAUGACUCAACUAAAAGGUACGUCAUAUAGGAAUCAAGGGAGAUGACUCGACUAAAAGAUACGUCUUACUAGGAAUCAAGGGAGAUGACUCGACUAAAAGGUACGUCUUCUAGGUGCCAAAGGGAAUGACUCGACUAAAAGGUACGUCUUAUAGGAAUCAAAGGGAGUGACUCAACUAAAAGGUACGUCUUAUAAGAAUCAAAGAAGAUGAUUCGACUAAAAGAUACGUCUUAUAAAAAUCAAAGGGAAUGACUCGACUAAAAGGUACGUCUUAUAGGAAUCAAAGGAGAUGACUCAACUAAAAGUUACGUCUUAUAGAAAUCAAAGGGAAUGACUCUACUAAAAGGCACAUCUUCUAAGGGUCAACGGGAAUGACUCGACUAAAAGGUACGUUUUAUAGGAAUCAAAGGGAAUAACUCGACUAAAUGGUACGUCUUAUAGGAAUCAAAGGAGAUGACUCGACUAAAAGGUACGUCUUAUAGGAAUCAAAGGGAAUGACUCGACUAAAAGGUACGUCUUAUAGGAAUCAAAUGAGAUCACUCGACUAAAAGGUACGUCUUAUAGAAUCAAAGAGAAUGACUCAACUAAAAGGUACGUCUUCUAGGAGUGAAGGUUCAAUUUAAGAAGUGUAUCAUCCAGCAAAUGAAAACUGAAAUCCCUGGACAAGAAAGUGUGUCUCCGAGGGAUAUAAGAUAAUGAAUUUUUACCAUGAUUUAAUUAUCAAACCUAUGCAGCAACU